AUGCAUGCAAGUCGAGCGAGAACCUUUCGGGGGGUAACCCCCGGAAGGGGAAAGCGGCGAACGGGUGAGUAACACGUGAGGAACCUGCCCCGGACUUCGGGAUAACAGUGGGAAACCGCUGCUAAUACCGAGUACUCCAUCUCCUUCGCAUGGAAGAGAUGGGAAAGGUCCGCCGGUCCGGGAUGGUCUCGCGGCCUAUCAGCUUGUUGGUGGGGUAACGGCCUACCAAGGCAGCGACGGGUAGCUAGCGUGAGAGCGUGUUUAGCCACACUGGGACUGCGACACGGCCCAGACUCCUACGGGAGGCAGCAGCAGGGAAUCUUGCGCAAUGGACGAAAGUCUGACGCAGUGACGCCGCGUGAGGGAUGAAUGCCUUCGGGUUGUAAACCUCUUUCAGCAGGGACGAAGCGAAAGUGACGGU
rnacentral:rRNA from 1 species